rnacentral:rRNA from 1 species
GGUAGUNCACGCCGUAAACGAUGAGUGCUAGGUGUUGGGUCCUUUCCGGGAUUCAGUGCCGCAGCUAACGCAUUAAGCACUCCGCCUGGGGAGUACGACCGCAAGGUUGAAACUCAAAGGAAUUGACGGGGGCCCGCACAAGCGGUGGAGCAUGUGGUUUAAUUCGAAGCAACGCGAAGAACCUUACCAGGUCUUGACAUCCCGAUGCUAUUUCUAGAGAUAGGAAGUUACUUCGGUACAUCGGUGACAGGUGGUGCAUGGUUGUCGUCAGCUCGUGUCGUGAGAUGNNNNNNNNNNNNNNNGCAACGAGCGCAACCCCUAUUGUUAGUUGCCAUCAUUCAGUUGGGCACUCUAGCGAGACUGCCGGUAAUAAACCGGAGGAAGGUGGGGAUGACGUCAAAUCAUCAUGCCCCUUAUGACCUGGGCUACACACGUGCUACAAUGGUUGGUACAACGAGUUGCGAGUCGGUGACGGCGAGCUAAUCUCUUAAAGCCAAUCUCAGUUCGGAUUGUAGGCUGCAACUCGCCUACAUGAAGUCGGAAUCGCUAGUAAUCGCGGAUCAGCACGCCGCGGUGAAUACGUUCCCGGGC